GUUGAACGCUGGCGGCAGGCCUAAUACAUGCAAGUCGAGCGAACGAACGGGGAUCUCUCCUCGCUGAAGUGGCCGGCGGACGGGUAAGUAACAGGUAUAUACCUGAUAUAUGAGGCUGACGUCAGGUCGGGAACCCGAAGCUAGCACAGGUUAAGAUGUUGAACGGCGUGGUUCAUCAGAGAAAGCGGUUUUUGCUGACACUUGUAGAGGGAUCCUGGCCGGAUUAGCUAGUUGGUAAGGUAACGGCCUACCAAGGCAACGAUGCGUAGCCGACCUGAGAGGGUGAUCAGCCACACUGGAACUGAGACACGGUCCAGACUCCUACGGGAGGCAGCAGUAGGGAAUAUUCGACAAUGGGCGAAAGCCUGACCCAGCCACGCCGCGUGUGUGAAGAAGGUCUUCGGAUUGUAAAGCACUGUAAGUAGGGAAGAAGAACAGUAAAAGAAAAUCUGCACGUUUUGACGUUACCUAAACAGAAAGCACCGGCUAACUACGUG
rnacentral:rRNA from 1 species